GAUGAGAACGUAGUAAAAUGCGAUAAGUAAUGUGAAUUGCAGAAUUCAGUGAAUCAUCGAAUCUUUGAACGCACAUUGCGCCCGCCAGUAUUCUGGCGGGCAUGCCUGUUCGAGCGUCAUUUCAACCAUCAAGCCCCAGGCUUGUGUUGGGGACCUGCGGCUGCCGCAGGCCCUGAAAACCAGUGGCGGGCUCGCUAGUCACACCGAGCGUAGUAGCAUACACAUCGCUCAGGGCGUGCUGCGGGUUCCGGCCGUUAAACCCCUUUUCUACCCAAGGUUGACCUCGGAUCAGGUAGGAAGACCCGCUGAACUUAAGCAUAUCAAUAAGCGGAGGA
rnacentral:misc_RNA from 1 species